rnacentral:rRNA from 1 species
GAUGAACGCUGGCGGCGUGCCUAAUACAUGCCAGUCGAGCGAACGGACGAGAAGCUUGCUUCUCUGAUGUUAGCGGCGGACGGGUGAGUAACACGUGGAUAACCUACCUAUAAGACUGGGAUAACUUCGGGAAACCGGAGCUAAUACCGGAUAAUAUUUUGAACCGCAUGGUUCAAAAGUGAAAGACGGUCUUGCUGUCACUUAUAGAUGGAUCCGCGCUGCAUUAGCUAGUUGGUAAGGUAACGGCUUACCAAGGCAACGAUGCAUAGCCGACCUGAGAGGGUGAUCGGCCACACUGGAACUGAGACACGGUCCAGACUCCUACGGGAGGCAGCAGUAGGGAAUCUUCCGCAAUGGGCGAAAGCCUGACGGAGCACCGCCGCGUGAGUGAUGAAGGUCUUCGGAUCGUAAAACUCUGUUAUUAGGGAAGAACAUAUGUGUAAGUAACUGUGCACAUCUUGACGGUACCUAAUCAGAAAGCCACGGCUAACUACGUG